GACGAACGCUGGCGGCGUGCUUAACACAUGCAAGUCGAGCGGUAAGGCCCUUUCGGGGGUACGACGAGCGGCGAACGGGUGAGUAACACGUGGGUGACCUGCCCUUAGCUCUGGGAUAAGCCUGGGAAACUGGGUCUAAUACCGGAUAUGACUCCAUGACGCAUGUUGUGGGGUGGAAAGCCUUGUGCGGCUAGGGAUGGGCCUGCGGCCUAUCAGCUUGUUGGUGGGGUGANGGCCUACCAAGGCGACGACGGGUAGCCGGCCUGAGAGGGCGACCGGCCACACUGGGACUGAGACACGGCCCAGACUCCUACGGGAGGCAGCAGUGGGGAAUCUUGCGCAAUGGGCGAAAGCCUGACGCAGCGACGCCGCGUGGGGAUGACGCCU
rnacentral:rRNA from 1 species